rnacentral:rRNA from 1 species
GACGUAGGGCGCGAGCGUUGUCCGGAUUUAUUGGGCGUAAAGAGCUCGUAGGCGGCUUGUCGCGUCGACUGUGAAAACCCGCGGCUCAACCGCGGGCCUGCAGCCGAUACGGGCAGGCUAGAGUUCGGUAGGGGCAACUGGAAUUCUCGGUGUAGCGGUGAAAUGCGUAGAUAUCGAGAGGAACACCUGCGGCGAAGGCGGGUUGCUGGGCUGACACUGACGCUGAUGCGCGAAAGCCAGGGGAGCGAACGGG